rnacentral:rRNA from 1 species
ACAAUAGACGUACCCCGGUAGUCCACGCCCGUAAACGAUGCGAACUGGAUGUUGGGUACAUUACGGUACUCAGUGUCGAAGCUAACGCGUUAAGUUCGCCGCCUGGGGAGUACGGUCGCAAGACUGAAACUCAAAGGAAUUGACGGGGGCCCGCACAAGCGGUGGAGUAUGUGGUUUAAUUCGAUGCAACGCGAAGAACCUUACCUGGCCUUGACAUCUGUCGAAUCCUGCAGAGAUGCGGGAGUGCCGCAAGGAACGACAAGACAGGUGCUGCAUGGCUGUCGUCAGCUCGUGUCGUGAGAUGUUGGGUUAAGUCCCGCAACGAGCGCAACCCUUGUCCCUAGUUGCCAGCACGUAAUGGUGGGAACUCUAGGGAGACUGCCGGUGACAAACCGGAGGAAGGUGGGGAUGACGUCAAGUCCUCAUGGCCCUUACGGCCAGGGGCUACACACGUACUACAAUGGUCGGUACAGAGGGUUGCGAAGCCGCGAGGUGGAGCCAAUCCCAGAUAACCGAUCCCAGUCCGGAUCGGAGU